rnacentral:tRNA from 1 species
AACUGUAUAACUUAAGUUAAAGUAAAUAAAUGCAGGUUAUUUUAUCUCAGUUAAAAUCUGAGUACAGUUU